rnacentral:rRNA from 1 species
UACGUAGGUGGCAAGCGUUGCCCGGAUUUACUGGGUGUAAAGGGCGUGUAGCCGGGCUGACAAGUCAGAUGUGAAAUCCGGGGGCUCAACCCCCGAACUGCAUUUGAAACUGUUGGUCUUGAGUAUCGGAGAGGCAGGCGGAAUUCCUAGUGUAGCGGUGAAAUGCGUAGAUAUUAGGAGGAACACCAGUGGCGAAGGCGGCCUGCUGGACGACAACUGACGGUGAGGCGCGAAAGCGUGGGGAGCAAACAGG